rnacentral:rRNA from 1 species
GACGAACGCUGGCGGCGUGCCUAAUACAUGCAAGUCGAACGCAGUGGGGACGGGGGCGUAACACGUGGGUAACCUCCCAUCAGAGGGGAUAACACUUGGAAACAGGUGCUAAACCGAUCCGGAUGGAUGGACCCGCGGUGCAUUAGCUAGUUGGUGAGGUAACGGCUCACCAGGGCCACGAUGCAUAGCCAACCUGAGCGGUGGAUCGGCCACCCUGUGACUGAGACACGUCCCAGACUCCUGCGUGAGGCAGCAGUAGGGAAUCUUCGGCAAUGGACGAGAGUCUGACCGAGCGACGCCGCGUGAGUGACGAAGGUUUUCGGAUCGUAAAACUCUGUUGUUAGAGAAGCGGUAUCUAACCAGAAAGCCACGGCUAACUACGUGCCAGCAGCCGCGGUAAUAC